UACGUAGGGUCCGAGCGUUAAUCGGAAUUACUGGGCGUAAAGCGUCCGCAGGUGGCUGUGUAAGUCUGCUGUCAAAGAGCAAAGCUCAACUUUGUAAAGGCAGUGGAAACUACACGGCUAGAGUGCGUUCGGGGCAGAGGGAAUUCCUGGUGUAGCGGUGAAAUGCGCAGAUAUCAGGAAGAACACCCGUGGCGAAGGCGGUUCUCUGGGACGGUACUGACGCUGAGACGCGAAAGCGUGGGGAGCGAACAGG
rnacentral:rRNA from 1 species